AAGAUUAGGUUGUUGGUAAAAAUAAAAGUUUACCAAGCCUUUGAUCUUUAGUUGGUCUUAGAGGACGUACAACCACACUGGAACUGAGACAAGGUCCAGGCUAUUUUUAGCCAGCAGUGAGGAAUAUUGGACAAUGAACUAAAGUUUGAUCCAGCAAUAUUGUGUGAAUGAUUGACGGCUAAAUUUAGGUUGUAAAGUUUUUUCGUUAAAAAUGAUAAUGACAUUAUUUAAAGAAGUUUAAGUCCCGGCUAAUCUCGUGCCAGCAGCCGCGGUAAUAC
rnacentral:rRNA from 16 species